rnacentral:rRNA from 1 species
UACGGAGGGUGCGAGCGUUGUCCGGAUUUAUUGGGUUUAAAGGGUGCGUAGGCGGCCCGUUAAGUCUGGGGUGAAAGCCCGCUGCUCAACAGCGGAACUGCCCUGGAUACUGACGGGCUUGAGUACAGACGAGGUUGGCGGAAUGGACGGAGUAGCGGUGAAAUGCAUAGAUACCGUCCAGAACCCCGAUUGCGAAGGCAGCUGACUAGGCUGUUACUGACGCUGAGGCACGACAGCGUGGGGAGCGAACAGG